rnacentral:pre_miRNA from 1 species
CACAUUCACUCUCCCUCAAGGGCUUCCCCAAACAUUGCCAUGCACGGCAUUCAUGAUGCUUGCAUCGAGUGCUUGAUGAAGUCCUUGGGGAGAGUGCAUAU